rnacentral:misc_RNA from 1 species
AUUAACACGAUCCCUAAAUAAGAUAAAGGAAGCUGGUAUUAAGAAAAAUUAAUAAAGCAAUUAAAAAAAUUUGUGCAAUUUGUCAAUCAACAAGGCAAAAUGUUCAAUGGGCUUCGCAUUCCAAAGACUAAAUCGAUCAAAUGAAUAUACUUUCCAGAAAAGAAUCCACAUAACCCAAAACUAUUAGAAGAUGCAUAACACGAGAAAGCUUGAAGAUUGUUA